rnacentral:lncRNA from 1 species
UUUUUCAUUAAAAUAUUUUCCCAAUUUUUGAAAGAGAAAAGAAACAAAAAAUCAAAUAAUCAAACACUCCAAUCAUUUCAAAUACUCCAUGCAGAAUCUAUAAACAGUGGUGUUGUAUGCUGUGGUUUUUCAAGUAUGUGAUUUCAACUUCUUUUUUUUUUGUUCCUACAAUAUACAUUUUCACCUUUAAGUAGUAGAAGAUAAAAAAAUAAUAAUAAUAAUAAUAAUAAUAAGUAAACCUAACUAUAUUUCUGAAAUUUUAAAAGUAGCAUGAUCAUUACACAAAUGUAAAUCAAAACAAUUCAAGCCACUAAAUUAAUAUCUCUAGAAUAUCUCUAGAAAAACUGAAUAAAUUUUUCAUGAAAAUAAUAUUGAUGCAUGAAAUUUCAAAAAAAGAAAAAAGGUGCUAACAUGUACUUUCAAAAAUAACUCAAUAUGUGGGUAUAUAAUAGGAGUUUAAGAUAAGAUUAAAUAGACCAAAAUUGAAAAUAUCAGAUUUCAGCAUUAUUUGCAAUUCAUUUAAAAAAAUAGUUACAUUGGAGGGAAUAUAGAAUAAUAUUUAUUCGGGGAUUAUGCAAGUUACUAUUAAAAUAGUUUUUUUAGGAAUAACAUAGUUGCUAUCCCAAUAUUCAAUUUUAUUAGUGCCUCAUGUGUCUUUUACAUCAACACUAGAUCAAACAUUGGCCAUUCAUUUUAAACAAUUAUCAGUUCAAAAGAUAUGAAAGAAGAUUUUCAGAAUUUAAACAAAAUAAGCAUGGUACAAUAUUUGGUCAAGUGAUGUACCAAGGCAAAAGAAAUAUGCAAGAAUGUGCAAAUGAAAUAGACACUUCUCACUGAAUGUACACAUUAAAACUGUACAAAGACAAAAAGGGCUCAACAAUGAAGCACAUUGGGAUUAGAAAAAUGUAAUUUAUUUUGGGCCUGUGCACAUUACCAUCACUUUCUCACAUUUCAAUCCAACAUAAAGUUUCAAUGUCACAUGAAAGGAGUAGAAGACUCUGAUAACACUUGCAAUUAAACUUUCCAUAUUUGAACAAGUAAUUUUUAAAAAGAAACUACAUUUCAAAAUGUACAAUCAUUCACCCGUUUGACCAAGUUUGGCAUAAAUCAAACAAUUUAAGAAUAAUAAACAAGACAAAAUAAAAUCAAGUGUAUACUGAGAAUUAUAUAGAAAUUGAAUCUAAAUAAUAAACUUAUACCUGGUAUCCAGAAUUUUCCUGCAAAAUUUAAUCUUUUUUUUCUUUUAAAAUUUGAAUGGAGUAUUACUAAGAUUCAAAUUUCUAACUAAGAAAUAAAAUCUCCAAUGAUUAUACCAUGGAAUUCAAUGCAUUCAAUAGUAGUGGAUAAACUCAAAAUAAAGCUGUUGGUGAUUUAUUUGUUUGUUUGUGUGUAUAUAUAUAUAUAUAUAUACAUACAUAUAUGUUGCACAAUAUCAUAUUUCUUUCACAAGUUUUUCAUCCAUCAACUGAAAGAAAUAUGUUUUUCUUAACAUAUAAGAAUGACAAACUGUACUUGUCAUUCAAUUAAACAUCUUGUACCUCCUUUGAAAGUUGAACUGCUCAAUAAAUAUUCAAAGAUUGUGUGUGUGUGAGUGUGUGUGUGGGUAUUGAU